GACGAACGCUGGCGGCGUGCCUAACACAUGCAAGUCGAGCGGGAACCUCAGGAGGGGUAACCCUCCUGAGGGGAGAGCGGCGAACGGGUGAGUAACACGUGGGCAACCUGCCCCGGACACCGGGAUAACCCAGGGAAACCUGAGCUAAUACCGGAUACUCCGGCGAGAUCGCAUGGUCCGGUCGGGAAAGCUCCGGCGGUCUGGGGUGGGCCCGCGGCCUAUCAGCUUGUUGGUGAGGUAACGGCUCACCAAGGCGACGACGGGUAGCUGGUCUGAGAGGACGGCCAGCCACACUGGGACUGAGAUACGGCCCAGACUCCUACGGGAGGCAGCAGUGGGGAAUCUUGCGCAAUGGGCGAAAGCCUGACGCAGCGACGCCGCGUGGGGGACGAAGGCCUUCGGGUUGUAAACCCCUUUCGGCAGGGAUGAAGCGAUCGUGACGGUACCUGCAGAAGAAGCUCCGGCUAACUACGUGCCAGCCGCCGCAGUAAUAC
rnacentral:rRNA from 1 species